CGAUUCUCAGGCAAGAGGAGAUUAUCAGCCGGAUUCCCGUGCGGGGACGUAGGGGUUGCGUUGUUCAGCGGCCAGGGAUGCGCCGAGGCGAUGUCUCCUCCCUUUACAACCCGAGUAUCGGGGCACGAGGAGGCGCGACCUUCCUGGGUACCCAAACCUCUGGCCUCCGGGAGACGCGGAAUUCGGGGGAUCGUUAAGGCGCCCUGGCCAGGGAAACAGAUGCUUCUGCGUCUGGGCUGAAAAUUGCUGAACCGGGGAAUGUGGGUGGGCGGGUGGCAUUGAACUUAGGCCAGAAGAGGGGGCUUUGGUAGGUUUUUACCUGCCUGUCCUUAGGCGGAGGACACUGGCUGGACAGGCUGCGUUACACACCUGAAGUCUCAUCCACGCAAAGUGCUUUCAGAAGUGGCUCCCUUCGCCGCAACUCCACACCUCGGGGUAACCGUAGAGAUUGGCAGCAAUGCCCCAGCCCCUCACCAGCACUGUGCAAAGUGACUUUGACAGGCAGAGAAAAGCCAACCCAGUCGAAUUCGUCUGGAAAGCAUUCCAGCAACCCAGAGAG
rnacentral:lncRNA from 1 species